rnacentral:rRNA from 1 species
UACGUAGGGCGCAAGCGUUGUCCGGAAUUAUUGGGCGUAAAGAGCUCGUAGGCGGCUUGUCACGUCGGAUGUGAAAGCCCGGGGCUUAACUCCGGGUCUGCAUUCGAUACGGGCUAGCUAGAGUGUGGUAGGGGAGAUCGGAAUUCCUGGUGUAGCAGUGAAAUGCGUAGAGAUCGGGAGGAACACCAGUGGCGAAGGCGGCCUUCUGGACCAAUACUGACGCUCAGGGGCGAAAGCGUGGGGAGCAAACCGG